rnacentral:rRNA from 1 species
UACAGAGGGUGCAAGCGUUGUUCGGAAUUAUUGGGCGUAAAGCGUGCGCAGGCGGCCAUCCAAGUCAGUGGUGAAAGCCCGGAGCUCAACUCCGGAAUUGCCAUUGAAACUGUUUGGCUCGAGUACGAGAGAGGUGAGUGGAAUUCCCAGUGUAGAGGUGAAAUUCGUAGAUAUUCGCAAGAACACCAGUGGCGAAGGCGGCUCACUGGCCCGGAACUGACGCUGAGAUGCGAAAGCGUGGGGAGCAAACAGGG